GUAACUGUUCUGCUUUUUCUUUAUUAUCCAUGUCUUUUGCCAUAUGAGCUUUUGGUAAUUAUUUUUUGUAAGGGCUUAACCACUGAGAUUUUUCAUUAUUUAAUGCUGUGAGAUGUCCUGUAAGAGCUGUUUUCAGAAUCUAUUCAAGGCAAUAAAAGGAUUCUUGUUGAAUUCAUUGGGCCUACAUGUAAAGUUCUACCUUCUUAACUCAUCUUUUUUUCUUGCCCUAUCAAAAUUUUGAUUUGGGAUGCUCAUAAUCAUUACCCAUCCAUUUAAAGAGAAUCCUCGGAGUCCAGCUAACCGUAAUCCUGUGUACUAAGUGAUUUACUGAUAUUCUGUUAUUGAGCAGAAAACAUCUAGUUUGUUUUGUUUUACAUGGCUAAAGAAAGAACUGGAAGAUGCUUGGGGCGUGAAAGUCUUUGACAGAUACACAGUUGUGCUUCAUAUUUUUCGUUGUAAUGCCAGAACUAAGGAAGCAAAACUCCAGAUUGCGUUGGCUGAAAUUCCACUCCUCAGGUCAAAUCUAAAAACUGAGGUAUCUCAUCUAGAUCAGCAGAGAGGUGGAUCAAGAUACAUCAUGGGCUCAGGUGAAACUUUCAUGGAGACACAGAAUCGUCUCUUGAGAGAAAAAGAGCUUAAAAUUCGGAAUGCCUUGGAGAAACUAA